rnacentral:rRNA from 1 species
AAUAGAUACCCUGGUAGUCCACGCCGUAAACGAUGAGUGCUAAGUGUUAGGGGGGUUUCCGCCCUUUAGUGCUGAAGUUAACGCAUUAAGCACUCCGCCUGGGGAGUACGGCCGCAAGGCUGAAACUCAAAGGAAUUGACGGGGGCCCGCACAAGCGGUGGAGCAUGUGGUUUAAUUCGAAGCAACGCGAAGAACCUUACCAGGUCUUGACAUCCUCUGAAAACCCUAGAGAUAGGGCUUCUCCUUCGGGAGCAGAGUGACAGGUGGUGCAUGGUUGUCGUCAGCUCGUGUCGUGAGAUGUUGGGUUAAGUCCCGCAACGAGCGCAACCCUUGAUCUUAGUUGCCAUCAUUAAGUUGGGCACUCUAAGGUGACUGCCGGUGACAAACCGGAGGAAGGUGGGGAUGACGUCAAAUCAUCAUGCCCCUUAUGACCUGGGCUACACACGUGCUACAAUGGACGGUACAAAGAGCUGCAAGACCGCGAGGUGGAGCUAAUCUCAUAAAACCGUUCUCAGUUCGGAUUGUAGGCUGC